rnacentral:rRNA from 1 species
CUACGGGCGGCUGCAGUAGGGAAUCUUAGACAAUGGGGGAAACCCUGAUCUAGCCAUGCCGCGUGAGUGAUGAAGGCCUUAGGGUUGUAAAGCUCUUUCGCUGGGGAAGAUAAUGACGGUACCCAGUAAAGAAACCCCGGCUAACUCCGUGCCAGCAGCCGCGGUAAUACGGAGGGGGUUAGCGUUGUUCGGAAUUACUGGGCGUAAAGCGCGCGUAGGCGGGCUAUUAAGUCAGGGGUGAAAGCCCGGGGCUCAACCCCGGAACUGCCUUUGAUACUGGUAGUCUUGAGUUCGAGAGAGGUGAGUGGAAUUCCUAGUGUAGAGGUGAAAUUCGUAGAUAUUCGGAGGAACAUCAGUGGCGAAGGCGACUCACUGUCUCGAUACUGACGCUGAGGUGCGAAAGUGUGGGGAGCAAACAGGAUUAGAUACCCUAGUAGUC